rnacentral:rRNA from 1 species
UACAGAGGGUGCGAGCGUUAAUCGGAAUUACUGGGCGUAAAGCGUGCGCAGGCGGUUUUGCAAGACAGAUGUGAAAUCCCCGGGCUUAACCUGGGAACUGCAUUUGUGACUGCAAGGCUAGAGUGUGUCAGAGGGAGGUGGAAUUCCGCGUGUAGCAGUGAAAUGCGUAGAGAUGCGGAGGAACACCGAUGGCGAAGGCAGCCUCCUGGGAUAACACUGACGCUCAUGCACGAAAGCGUGGGGAGCAAACAGG